rnacentral:misc_RNA from 1 species
AAGUCGUAACAAGGUUUUCCGUAGGUGAACCUGCGGAAGGAUCAUUACCGAGUUAGGGUCUCCUCCGUGAGGCCCGACCUCCCAACCCCCGUGUCUAUUAAACCUGUUAGUGUUGCUUCGGCGGAACGGCAGUCGCCCACCCUUCACCGGGAGGGAUACUGUCGCCGGGGGUAUCCAACGGUCCCACGACGCCCCCUGGAGAGGUCCGCCCGAUGGCCCCAACCAAACAAACUCCCAAACCAAAAUUAUAGUACCUAAACUUCUGAAUCAGACCUUUUGAAUACCAAUCAAAAAUCAAAG